rnacentral:rRNA from 1 species
AUGAACGCUAGCUACAGGCUUAACACAUGCAAGUCGAGGGGCAGCAUGGUCUUAGCUUGCUAAGACUGAUGGCGACCGGCGCACGGGUGAGUAACACGUAUCCAACCUGCCGUCUACUCUUGGACAGCCUUCUGAAAGGAAGAUUAAUACAAGAUGGCAUCAUGAGUCCACAUGUUCACAUGAUUAAAGGUAUUCCGGUAGACGAUGGGGAUGCGUUCCAUUAGAUAGUAGGCGGGGUAACGGCCCACCUAGUCUUCGAUGGAUAGGGGUUCUGAGAGGAAGGUCCCCCACAUUGGAACUGAGACACGGUCCAAACUCCUACGGGAGGCAGCAGUGAGGAAUAUUGGUCAAUGGGCGAGAGCCUGAACCAGCCAAGUAGCGUGAAGGAUGACUGCCCUAUGGGUUGUAAACUUCUUUUAUAAAGGAAUAAAGUCGGGUAUGCAUACACGUUUGCAGGUACUUUAUGAAUAAGGAUCGGCUAACUCCGUGCCAGCAGCCGCGGUAAUACGGAGGAUCCGAGCGUUAUCCGGAUUUAUUGGGUUUAAAGGGAGCGUAGAUGGAUGUUUAAGUCAGUUGUGAAAGUUUGCGGCUCAACCGUAAAAUUGCAGUUGAUACUGGAUAUCUUGAGUGCAGUUGAGGCAGGCGGAAUUCGUGGUGUAGCGGUGAAAUGCUUAGAUAUCACGAAGAACUCCGAUUGCGAAGGCAGCCUGCUAAGCUGCAACUGACAUUGAGGCUCGAAAGUGUGGGUAUCAAACAGGAUUAGAUACCCUGGUAGUCCACACGGUAAACGAUGAAUACUUGCUGUUUGCGAUAUACAGCAAGCGGCCAAGCGAAAGCGUUAAGUAUUCCACCUGGGGAGUACGCCGGCAACGGUGAAACUCAAAGGAAUUGACGGGGGCCCGCACAAGCGGAGGAACAUGUGGUUUAAUUCGAUGAUACGCGAUGAACCUGACCCGGGCUUAAAUUGCAGAUUAAUUACGUUGAAAGCCGUAAGCCGCAAGGCAUCUGUGAAGGUGCUGCAUGGUUGUCGUCAGCUCGUGCCGUGAGGUGUCGGCUUAAGUGCCAUAACGAGCGCAACCCUUGUUGUCAGUUACUAACAGGUUCUGCUGAGGACUCUGACAAGACUGCCAUCGUAAGAUGUGAGGAAGGUGGGGAUGACGUCAAAUCAGCACGGCCCUUACGUCCGGGGCUACACACGUGUUACAAUGGGGGGUACAGAGGGCCGCUACCACGCGAGUGGAUGCCAAUCCCAAAAACCUCUCUCAGUUCGGACUGGAGUCUGCAACCCGACUCCACGAAGCUGGAUUCGCUAGUAAUCGCGCAUCAGCCACGGCGCGGUGAAUACGUUCCCGGGCCUUGUACACACCGCCCGUCAAGCCAUGGGAGCCGGGGGUACCUGAAGUGCGUAACCGCGAGGAGCGCCCUAGGGUAAAACUGGUGACUGGGGCU